GACGAACCGUGCGAACGUUGUUCGGAAUCACUGGGCUUAAAGGGCGCGUAGGCGGGCGGUCAAGUCAGGGGUGAAAUCUUUCAGCUCAACUGGAAAAUGGCCUCUGAUACUGGCCGCCUGGAGGGGGGUAGGGGCAUGUGGAACUUCCGGUGGAGCGGUGAAAUGCGUAGAUAUCGGAAGGAACGCCGGUGGCGAAAGCGACGUGCUGGACCCUUUCUGACGCUGAGGCGCGAAAGCCAGGGGAGCAAACGGG
rnacentral:rRNA from 1 species